rnacentral:rRNA from 1 species
UACAGAGGUGGCAAGCGUUGUUCGGAAUUACUGGGCGUAAAGGGCGCGUAGGCGGUCCUGUAAGUCUUGUGUGAAAUCCCUCGGCUUAACUGAGGAACUGCACAGGAUACUGCGAGACUUGAGUUCGGGAGAGGGAAGCGGAAUUCCGGGUGUAGCGGUGAAAUGCGUAGAUAUCCGGAGGAACACCGGUGGCGAAGGCGGCUCACUGGACCGGAACUGACGCUGAGGCGCGAAAGCGUGGGGAGCAAACAGG